CCUACGGGGGGCAGCAGUAGGGAAUCUUUCACAAUGGGCGAAAGCCUGAUGGAGCAACGCCGCGUGCAGGAUGAAGGCCUUCGGGUUGUAAACUGCUUUUAUAAGCGAGAAAUAUGAUGGUAACUUAUGAAUAAGGAUCGGCGAACUACGUGCCAGCAGCCGCGGUCAUACGUAGGAUCCGAGCAUUAUCCGGAGUGACUGGGUGUAAAGAGUUGCGUAGGUGGCAUAAUAAGUAGCGAGUGAAAUCUGGUGGCUCAACCAUUCAGACUAUUAGCUAAACUGUUAAGCUCGAGACCGUUAGGGGUAACUGGAAUUUCUAGUGUAGGAGUGAAAUGCGUAGAUAUUAGAAAGAACACCGAUAGCGUAGGCAGGUUACUGGGACGGUUCUGACACUAAGGCACGAAAGCGUAGGGAGCAAACGGGAUUAGAUACCCCAGUAGUC
rnacentral:rRNA from 1 species